GUUUGAUCCUGGCUCAGGAUGAACGCUGGCGGCGUGCCUAAUACAUGCAAGUCGAACGUGACUUCCCGAUUUCGAUUGGGGAUGAAAGUGGCGUCCGGGUGAGGAACACGUAGCUGACCUGCCCUUGGCCGGGGGAUAACUCCGCGAAAGCGGGGCUAAUACCGCGUAAGCUCAAUGAGAUUAGAGGCUCGUUGAGGAAAGUUAAGGCGGCGAAGGAGGGGGCUGCGAUCCAUCAGCUAGCUGGUGCGGUAACGGCGCACCAGGGCAACGACGGAUAGGGGACCUGAGAGGGUGACCCCCCACACUGGAACUGAAACACGGUCCAGACUCCUACGGGAGGCAGCAGUAAGGAAUAUUGCGCAAUGGGCGAAGGCCUGACGCAGCAACGCCGCGUGCGGGAUGAAGGUCUUCGGAUCGUAAACCGCUUUUCUGCGGGAAGAAGAUGACGGUACCGCAGGAAGAAGUCUCGGCUAACUACGUGCCAGCAGCCGCGGUAAAACGUAGGAGGCAAGCGUUAUCCGGAUUUACUGGGCGUAAAGCGCGUGCAGGUGGUUGCUUAAGUCGUGCGUGAAAGCUCCCAGGCUCAACCGGGAGAGGACGUGCGAAACUGGGGAACUAGAGACAGGUAGAGGCAAGUAGAAUUCCGGGUGUAGUGGUGAAAUGCGUAGAGAUCCGGAGGAAUACCAGUGGCGAAGGCGGCUUGCUGGAUCUGGACUGACACUCAGACGCGAAAGCAUGGGUAGCGAACGGGAUUAGAAACCCCGGUAGUCCAUGCCGUAAACGAUGUCGACUAGGCGUUCGUCUCGCAAGAGGGGAGUGCCGAAGCCAACGCGAUAAGUCGACCGCCUGGGGAGUACGGCCGCAAGGUUAAAACUCA
rnacentral:rRNA from 1 species